rnacentral:rRNA from 1 species
ACUCAAAUGAAUAGACGGGGGCCCGCACAAGCGGCGGAGCAUGUUGCUUAAUUCGACGCAACGCGAAGAACCUUACCAAGGUUUGACAUGCAGGGAAAAGCCGUAGAGAUACGGUGUCCGUAAGGGUCCUGCACAGGUGGUGCAUGGCUGUCGUCAGCUCGUGUCGUGAGAUGUUGGGUUAAGUCCCGCAACGAGCGCAACCCUCGUCCUAUGUUGCCAGCGGAUAAUGCCGGGGACUCAUAGGAGACUGCCGGGGUCAACUCGGAGGAAGGUGGGGAUGACGUCAAGUCCUCAUGCCCCUUAUGUCUUGGGCUGCAAACAUGCUACAAUGGCCAGUACAAAGGGUUGCGAGACCGCAAGGUGGAGCGAAUCCCAAAAAGCUGGUCUCAGUUCGGAUUGGGGUCUGCAACUCGACCCCAUGAAGUCGGAGUCGCUAGUAAUCGCGAAUCAGCAACGUCGCGGUGAAUACGUUCCCGGGCCUUGUACACACCGCCCGU